GUAAAGAUUAAAGUGUCCAUCGGCAUAGACAGUAUCCACCGUUCCGUAUCGUGUAAAAAAGAUAUCAGCAUGAUACAGUCUCCGUGCCAAUGGCUCAACUCGAAAUAUUUUAUUUUUGAAAUUAGCAAUAAAAUAAUUGAUAUAUUAAUUUUGUUACUAAAGAAUAUAAAUAUUUCAUACCAUUAUAUAUCGGCACAUAUAUAUAUAUUUUUUAUGACCGACACUUAUCAGUACGAUUCGGCGUAUAUAGUACCGGUAAACUUUC
rnacentral:lncRNA from 1 species